UACGUAGGGUGCAAGCGUUGUUCGGAAUCAUUGGGCGUAAAGCGCGUGUAGGUGGCCUACCAAGUCGAUUGUGAAAGCCCUCGGCUCAACCGGGGAAGUGCAGUCGAAACUGGUAGGCUCGAGAACGGUAGAGGAAGGUGGAAUUCCUAGUGUAGAGGUGAAAUUCGUAGAUAUUAGGAGGAAUACCUGUGGCGAAGGCGGCCUUCUGGGCCGUUUCUGACACUGAGACGCGAAAGCGUGGGUAG
rnacentral:rRNA from 1 species